rnacentral:rRNA from 1 species
CCUGGCGGCAAUAGCGCGGUGGUCCCACCUGACCCCAUGCCGAACUCAGAAGUGAAACGCCGUAGCGCCGAUGGUAGUGUGGGGGCUCCCCAUG